rnacentral:rRNA from 1 species
GACGAACGCUGGCGGCGUGCUUAACACAUGCAGGUCGAACGGUAAGGCCCUUCGGGGUACACGAGUGGCGAACGGGUGAGUAACACGUGGGUGAUCUGCCCUGCACUUCGGGAUAAGCCUGGGAAACUGGGUCUAAUACCGGAUAGGACUCCUGGCUUCAUGGUUGGGGGUGGAAAGCUUUUGCGGUGUGGGAUGGGCCCGCGGCCUAUCAGCUUGUUGGUGGGGUAAUGGCCUACCAAGGCGACGACGGGUAGCCGGCCUGAGAGGGUGACCGGUCACACUGGGACUGAGGUACGGCCCAGACGCCUACGGGAGGCAGCAGUGGUGAGUAUUGCACAAUGGGCGCAAGCCUGAUGCAGCGACGCCGCGUGAGGGAUGCCGGCCUUCGGGUUGUAAACCUCUUUCAGCUCUGACGAAGCGCAAGUGACGGUAGUAGCAGAAGAAGGACCGGCCAACUACGUGCCAGCCGCCGCCGUAA